CGUAGGGUCCGAGCGUUGUCCAGAAUUAUUGGGCGUAAAGGGCUCGUAGGCGGUUAGUCACGUCGGGAGUGAAAACUCAGGGCUCAACCCUGAGCGUGCUUCCGAUACGGGCUGACUAGAGGUAUGCAGGGGAGAACGGAAUUCCUGGUGUAGCGGUGGAAUGCGCAGAUAUCAGGAGGAACACCGGUGGCGAAGGCGGUUCUCUGGGCAUUACCUGACGCUGAGGAGCGAAAGCAUGGGGAGCGAACAGGAUUAGAUACCCUGGUAGUCCAUGCCGUAAACGUUGGGCGCUAGGUGUGGGGUCCUUCCACGGAUUCCGUGCCGCAGCUAACGCAUUAAGCGCCCCGCCUGGGGAGUACGGCCGCAAGGCUA
rnacentral:rRNA from 1 species